AUGGAACAAUGUAGGCAAGGGAAGUCGGCAAAACGGAUCCGUAACUUCGGGAAAAGGAUUGGCUCUGAGAACUGGGCUCGGGGGUCCCGGCCCCGAACCCGUCGGCUGUCGGCGGAUUGCUCGAGCUGCUCACGCGGCGAGAGCGGAUCGCCGCGUGCCGGCCGGGGGACGGACCGGGAAUCGCCCCUUCGAGGGCUUUCCCCGAGCAUGAAACAGUCGACUCAGAACUGGUACGGACAAGGGGAAUCCGACUGUUUAAUUAAAACAAAGCAUUGCGAUGGUCCUCGCGGAUGCUGA
rnacentral:rRNA from 1 species